rnacentral:rRNA from 1 species
UAAGAUGAGAGUUUGAUCCUGGCUCAGGACGAACGCUGGCGGCAUGCCUAAUACAUGCAAGUCGAACGAGCUUCCGUUGAAUGACGUGCUUGCACUGAUUUCAACAAUGAAGCGAGUGGCGAACUGGUGAGUAACACGUGGGUAACUUGCCCAGAAGCAGGGGAUAACAC